UGUCUCUCUCGCUCGCUCGCUCGCUCCGCUACGCUCGCACAGGCGGCCGCCCGAACCUCCCUGCUCUCCUGAAAGCCACAGACACAGCCACGGUGGUUAAACGUGGCGCAGUGCUACCGUCCAUCGAAGACAAUUGGAAGAUGAACAGUAAACAUCAAUGACAAAGAGUGAAAGUUACAAUUGGGUCCUUGACAGCCAGCAUGCCAGUUCUGUACUAGUGAGUCCUAAAAGAGAUACAACCACUAAAAUCUACUUUGAAACCUGUCCAUAACUGAGUCAUUGUGAGGUCCAAAUCCGUAGUCCAAGAUUCUAAGAGAGAGAGAGAGAGAAAAGGAAGCUUCUUCUGUUUGUGAGCUUGAGGAUAGUGAUUUCUAAAUGAAACAAGUUAAGCCUCAAUCACAAGAGCAUCGAAGCAUUGAGAUGAAGAAGUGAAGAUUGGAAGAGCCACAUACGAAGAAUAAGAGUGUUAAUGAUACCUGUUGUGAAUGGGAUCAGGGCCAUUGGGCACCCUUCUUUUACUAGCAUGGAAAGGGUCGAAGCUGCUGUCCCCUGUUGGCCUAUUACCUCUUGACGAAGCCACGACAGCAGCAGUCACUGGUAUUGGUGGCGGCGGUGUAGCAUUUGCUCCUCUACCGACUACGGAGACAGAGAUGAAGAGGCCGAGACACAAGAGGCAUGCGAGGCCAGUGAGGAAGGCCCUCAUGGACCUACCACUGCGCAUCCUCUUCUCUUUCUUGUAUUCCUGCUUCACUUGUUCCUCCUCCUCCACUCCCUUUCCUGUCCUCGGAGCAAACAGGUGGCGGAGGAAACGGAAGAAAGGUGUGGUGGUGGUGGGUUGAGAGGUGGGGGGGGGGGAGGGGGAGAGUGUGUGGAGGUAAUUCUUAUAUGGGGAUCCGGUGGUGGUGCUUGAGGAGGAGGAGGAGGAGGAGGAGGAGGGGAUAUGCCUGUGGUGGUCUUUUCCUUUUGAAGCUUCUCUUUAUCUUCUCUUUGGAGUUGAGGCGAUUCUGAUACACUUUUGUAGCAGAGCUUUGCAUGAGGGAAAUAAAUGGCAGCCCCAAAAUGAAAAUAAAAGAACAAAACUGAUUCGAGCGUCACUCACUAGGAUACCAAGUGGGGCCCCCCGGGUUUCGCGUCGGAGCUCAGCUGCUCGUGCUCGGACAGGAGUAAAGUGAGCCGACGGAUCCCGACGUUAGACCCCACGUGGGGCUCCGCGGAGCACUCAAUGGACACCUGCCACGUCAUCGGAGGGGCCUAAGUGGACAAAGAUCUCCUUCGCCCGUGUCUUCAUCUCAUUAAACCGGAGGAAGAUUUCUUUCCAACGUUCACUGCUUGAGUAGAUUAAAUUCAAGUUUGUUCAUUCUAUUCAAACAUGAUAUAACGAAGGUGUUCGAUGUUUGACCAA